rnacentral:tRNA from 1 species
GGGGUUGUGGCUCAGUGGUAGAGCGCUUGCCUAUAGUAUGCAUGAGGCACUGGGUUCGAUCCCAAAGACCACA